UACGUAGGGUGCAAGCGUUAUCCGGAAUUAUUGGGCGUAAAGAGCUCGUAGGCGGUUUGUCGCGUCUGCUGUGAAAACUGGAGGCUCAACCUCCAGCCUGCAGUGGGUACGGGCAGACUAGAGUGCGGUAGGGGAGAUUGGAAUUCCUGGUGUAGCGGUGGAAUGCGCAGAUAUCAGGAGGAACACCGAUGGCGAAGGCAGAUCUCUGGGCCGUAACUGACGCUGAGGAGCGAA
rnacentral:rRNA from 1 species